UAAAGUGGACGGAACGGUUGGUGAACUCCUAGAGCUUUAUCGGGUCGGUGAACUAUCCAUUGAAGAUCAUCGACCCGAGGAAAAACGCUCGUUUUGGCCCUCACACUCUGCUCUCCGUCAAAGCCUCUCCUGAGUCCUGAUUCCAAUUCCACGAUUAGGCCGUUUAGGUCCUAUCUUACGCAGAGGCUUACGAGGAGGGAGGCUCAGAUCAUAUUACGAGGUCACUGUAAAAGAAUUGAAUUGUGUUGACCAAGGUUUUCGACGCCCAAAUCGUCACAAAGUUGAGGAGUCACAAGCAGGAGCAGGUGAAGCCGGCUUGGAAGUGGAUGAAAACCGCCUCCACUUGUGGCAAGUCCUUUUCACCAAUCCAUAUGAAUGGUGGGUAACAGGAAAGAUAAUGUAAAUCCAAGGCAGUAGAUUUCAAGGACAAGAUAGUGGUGAAGCUCUCUGGUUGAGUCCAAAUGAUCCUCCAUGGAUUAAAAGACAACUCCAGUUGCUUGAUACACAAAUGGCAUAACAAAGCCAAGGAGAUCGUGUAGGUUCCCAUUCGGGUGUCUCCAUGUGGGUGUAUGAUGACUCUGGGAUGAGUCUACAGGCCUUGAAAGAAUUAUCUGCUGCUAUAUGCAGGGUUCUGCAAUCUUACUCAUAGCAUCUAACUGGAAGGACAAAGAAUAACUGAAAGCAAUACUGAUACCAGACAAGAAUUCAAGAUUGAAGAUAGUUUUAUGCCCCCAAGCACACAUACUAAUCUCAGAGAUUGAAGCAUAUCAAGCACUGAAAAUUACUGUAUCCAGUUCUUUAAACAGCAGGUACCAGAUACAUGACAAAAUAUGAAUACAAGGUCACUUUAUUAUAGCA